rnacentral:rRNA from 1 species
GGGUCAGUAGGUUGGUCGUGCCACCGGUACGUACUGGUCACACUGAUUCCUCCUUCCUGAAGAACCGUAAUGCCAUUAAUCUGGUGUUGCGGGGAAACAGGACUGUUACUUUGAAAAAAUUAGAGUGUUUAAAGCAAGCUAACGCUUGAAUACAUUAGCAUGGAAUAAUGAAAUAGGACGAUCGAUCCUAUUUUGUUGGUUUCUAGGAUUGACGUA